UGGGGAAUAUUGCACAAUGGGCGCAAGCCUGAUGCAGCCAUGCCGCGUGUGUGAAGAAGGCCUUCGGUUGUAAGCAACUUCUAGCGAGGAGGAAGGAUGGUGGUGACUUAAUACGUUCAUCAAUUGACGUUACUCGCAGAAGAAGCACCGGCUAACUCCGUGCCAGCAGCCGCGGUAAUACGGAGGGUGCAAGCGUUAAUCGGAAUUACUGGGCGUAAAGCGCACGCAGGCGGUUUGUUAAGUCAGAUGUGAAAUCCCCGGGCUCAACCUGGGAACUGCAUUUGAAACUGGCAAGCUAGAGUCUCGUAGAGGGGGGUAGAAUUCCAGGUGUAGCGGUGAAAUGCGUAGAGAUCUGGAGGAAUACCGGUGGCGAAGGCGGCCCCCCUGGACGAAGACUGACGCUCAGGUGCGAAAGCGUGGGGCAGCAAACAGGAUUAGAUACCCUGGUAGUCCACGCUGUAAACGAUGUCGAUUUGGAGGUUGUGCCCCUUGAGGCGUGGCUUCCGGAGCUAACGCGUUAAAUCGACCGCCUGGGGAGUACGGCCGCAAGGUUAAAACUCAAAGGAAUUGAC
rnacentral:rRNA from 1 species